GAAUAUCUCAACCACUACUGCAGGUCUUUGCAUAUGCAAUCUACUAAAGAAGAAAAACUCACAAAGUUAGAUUCACAUUUUUAAAUUUGCAUUUUUAAAAACUUUUGGGUGUGGUGCUGACAACUUGUUGCGUUUUCAUUUGUGUCCUCCCUGGAAGUGAGAAAAUCACAGAGCAUCUCUGCUGCCUGGCCAGCACUCUCUACCUCUGUGCCUUCUUCUGGAGGAGAGACACUGACACUGACACUGACAUGAUGAGUCUUCCUGUCCUGUCCUCUUGAACAGCUAAAGGAGAUGGAGAACUUUACAGAGCAAAAGUCUGACUUUGAUGUGUGUAAUGGGGAAUGAGC
rnacentral:lncRNA from 1 species